AAAACAAUGCAAACAAGUUUCUUUGUUAUUUACAUAAUAACGCAAUCCGAAACUAUACAGUAAAAUAGCCUAAACCAUUGUUUUAUGCAAUACGCUAUAUCGUUUAAGUUAAGGUUCGCGAGGAUUCAGGAAUGUUGAGAUUACUUCUUUUGUAUGAGCGGUUUGUGAUUACAGAUUAACGUAAAACUGAUUCUUAGCUACAUUCAUCAUCCAUAGAAAAAGCAGAAGGAAAACAGUAAAUGUAAGAUUCUACUAACAUUUGCGUACAUCACAUUAUAAUAGUUGACAUAUUUCUAGCUGUCGGUGCUUAUCGCUAUACCAUUUAAGGAGAUGUAUGGCGAACAAAAUUUAACUGUACAAACACCAAAGAGGAAAAUAAGAAGUGGUCAAUGUGCAUAGUACAAAAAUGAAUUGUGUGGUUACAAUUAUUCAGCAUGAUUGUCAUUCAUGUUCCAACAAUUGACAUUUCAGUUAUUUGCAUACUCGACAACAGCCACGAAAUGGAAGCUUUUUUAAAGUAGCUAGAAAAGAAUACCUGACUAGUAUGUUUUCGCCUUCUUACCACUAUGCCUUUUUAGUUGCUUUAAACGUGACACACUGUAUGAGUUAAUUCUAUCACAAGGCAACUAUAGACUGAAAGGAUAUAAAUUCGCAUUCAUGCAGACGCUUGUCAUUUUUCACUAUAAUAGUACAACAGUGAUUUAUUUAAUUAGGCCAAAUUAUAACGGCUUUUGUAAGAUUCCUCCACCAGCGAACAUAUCUUGCUCAGUAUGCAUAUUAAUAGUAUUACAGAUGAAACUUGUGCGCUAUACUACUAUUUAAAAAAAUAUACACAAAAGAAAAAGUGGCAAGCAGGGGCGCAAAUAUCGCUAUAUAAAUUAUUAUAAUGAAGAGGUUAUUCAACCAAUUUCAUUUGAUGUUUACCGUGCUAAAUAGAUUCUCGCUUUGCAAAAUGUCGUCAGUUCCACGUGAAAUUUGGGUUUUCAUCAAAUAUUAUCUUAAGGAUAAUCCACUUUUUUUUUAACCUAAACUGAAUAACCAUUUAGUAUUUAAAUUAGUAAUCUGAAUGUCUUCUAUCUAUUGAGUCAGAUCUUUUGAAUUUCAGUCAUUGUAGUUUUUCUGUACCGCCAAAAUACAAAACUUGUCUUACCAGUUUUGAGUAAUUUAAAUAUUAAAUUUAGGAGCCUUUGACAUCAGGCUUGUUCGGGGC